UACGAAGGGGGCUAGCGUUGCUCGGAAUCACUGGGCGUAAAGGGUGCGUAGGCGGGUUUUUAAGUCAGGGGUGAAAUCCUGGAGCUCAACUCCAGAACUGCCUUUGAUACUGAAGAUCUUGAGUUCGGGAGAGGUGAGUGGAACUGCGAGUGUAGAGGUGAAAUUCGUAGAUAUUCGCAAGAACACCAGUGGCGAAGGCGGCUCACUGGACCGGAACUGACGCUGAGGCGCGAAAGCGUGGGGAGCAAACAGG
rnacentral:rRNA from 1 species